CUGACUGAACAUGAGUUAAAAACAUAUUUGAAGAUGCUCAUUGAGGUUAACAUGACAGUGCAUUAUCAGCAUGAACUGCCCAUACAGUAGCAUCUAAUUUGGGCGGAAUCCUGUUGCUGGAAAACCCAUGGUUAUUCAUGUCCCGUAUUGUUGCAGAGACCCACAAAAGGGGAAUAAGCCACGCCUGAGCUCUACCCAUCUCGAGUCCAGAGAGUUUUACUCAUACAGCACCGGAGAUAGAGACUGAGAGGGGUUACAUUAGCCACAGCGUUUUUUCCCCCCUAUAAGACUGAUUAUUAAACUGAUUUCAUGAUGCAGCUUUAUGGAGCUCUGAUUCUGUGUGUGACUCUGUCUGCAGUAUGUGGAUUACGAUGCUACACAUGCUAUGGCGUUGAUCCUAAAUCCUGCAUAGAGAGCAAACCUUGUGCUUUCACCUUGAACCGUUGUUACUCUCUCAGAGUAAGCGGCGUUGACUUGGCUAAACAACUUAUAAAGAUUAAUGUGCUAUAGGUGCACAGUUGUGGACCCUAAAUCCUGCACAAACACCACAUCUUGUUCUGAUGUCUCCAACCGUUGUUACUCUCUCAGAGUUGGCAGUGCUAACAUAGCCAUGAAGGACUGCCAAAACAGUGCAUUAUCUGUUGGCUCUAUGACUUGCUGUAAAGACGACCUGUGUAACAGCACUAUUCCAACUGGUCCCAGUGCCGUCCUGCUGCUUGUAUCCUCAGCAGUCAUCAAAUUCCUUUUCCAAGGCUGUGGAAUGAUCUUUCCAUGCUGCACUUUUUUCUGAUUUUAUUUUGUAGAACUAAAGAUGAAAUAAAAUGUGUUGGAGUGAAAUUAUAAAAAACAAAAUUAGAGAAGUUCAGAGUUAUUAAUUCCAAUCAUGUGUUGCUUGAAUGCAAUGUUUUCCCUAAAGCAAAUAAAAAUGCAAACAGAAAAUAUAUUUGCAUAUUUUUGGAAAAGUUUGAACUGGGAUUGAGAAGAAGGCAGGAUUUCUUUUGUUUAUUUCAUUUUACUAAAGCAAAGAAGGUUUUAAGUGGGGGUGGAGAAAAGGGUGAAUCUGAGGUCAGUAAGAGGAACUCGACACGAUAAGUCACAACUUCAAUAUUUCCUAAACACCAAAGGUUCAAAUAUCAGUUUUUAGGUUUCAUUUUCACAUAAAGUUGAUCUGAUUCAAGUUGAAGUUUCAAGUGCCUUGGAGAGAUUAAAUCUCUCGGCUGGCUUGGAAAAAAGUCAUCCACAUGUCCCCACGGAUAAGCAGGAAAAGGUGGCUAGAGUGAGGCAUUUCUAGGCUUCCUGCUCUGACUGCCAACCUAUGACUAGAACCCAGGCAAGCAUUAGAAAAUGGAUGGAUAGUUGGAAACAUUGUUUAUCUGCCUUUUACUGUAAUAUAUUUGAGAUUACAAAUAUUAUAAAAGAGAUAGGAGGUGAGUUUUUAUAAUCAACCUAGGUCUCCUUUUAUGUUGUUGCAGUGAAAGACCACAUGAGAGCGCUCAAGCAGAUUGGAUUUCUGUAGACAGAUCGGUGAAACCAGAAGAACAUGACUAAGUAACACUGAAAAUGAUAUAAUUCGGAUGUUAAUGUUAAGCUACCCCCCCACCCAAGGAUCUCAUUUUCUCUUUAUUUUAUGUAUGUGUUCGAAAUUUGGCUUUAUUCAUUUUUUUUUAAAUCUUGGAUACAUGUCCCAAAUUCAAAUUGGUCCAAUUUUAAUAUUAGACAAAAAUAACUAAAAAAAUAAAAAUACAAAGUGCAGUUUUUAAAUGAUGAUUUUUAUCUAUUAAGGGAACCAAGCUACCCAAAACUACCUGGGCCCAUGUGAAAAAGUAAUUACCACAGAAUUCUAAUAACUGGUUGUGUCACUUUUCGCAGCAAGUGACACAACACUGCAAUCCAGUGGUUGAAAUAUCUGGUAUUUAUUUUUUCAUAUUACUGUGAAUAAAUCCCCUGUUUGCAGAAUCAACCAUAUUCCAGAGUUUCUGAACAAAAUGGACCUCUGUAAGGUCAUGCCAAUCAAUCUCAAUUUUAUUUUAAGUCCGGACUUUGACCAGGCUUCAUUUUGAUUUUUGAGCCAUUCAGAGGUGCACUUGCUGGUGUGUUUUGGAUCACUGCGCUGCUGCAUAACCUGACUGUGCUCAUCACCGGACAUUCUCCUUCCAGAUUUUCUGAUAGAGAGCAGAAUUCAGGAUUCCUUUGCAGACUAAUAGAUCUCUGUGACUUUGUUUCUCAUAUGUUGUUGAGUUUCUUUAGAUCUUGACUUGAUGUGUUUUGAGCUCAUUUAGCUAAUUUCACUAGAAAUCACUUUGGUAACUCUUGUCCUCCAGUUGUUGACCUGCCUUUCUCUUUUUCUCUCUUAUCCACAUGGUAAACAUGGUAUAUUGAUAUAUAGAAUUCAAUUAAGCCACUUGGCAACUAGACCUGGCAGCAUGGUGGUUAGCACUGUUGCAGUACAGGAAGAAGGUCCUGAGUUCAAUUCCAUCAUCAUGCCGGGGGUCUUUCUGUGUGGAGUUUCCAUAUCCUCCCCAGCUGCAAAAGUCUUUGUUGUGGAGUCUGACAGCGGUGGGGAGGAAAGACCUGCGAAAUCUCUCCAUCCCACAUCGUGGGUGCCGCAGCCUGCCACUGAAGGAGCUGCUCAGUGCUGUCACAGUCUCAUGCAUGGGGUGGGAGAUGUUGUCCAACAGGGAUGACAGCUUAGCCACCAUUCUCCUGUCACUCACCACCUCCACUGCAUCCUAGAACAGAGCUGGCCCUUCUGAUCAGCCUGUUCAGUCUCUUCCUGUCCCCGGCAGAGAUGUUGCCACCCCAGCAGACCACACCAUAAAAGAUGGCUGAGGCCACCACAGAGUCAUAGAAGGUCUUCAGGAGUGGGCCCUUCACUCCAAAAGACCUGAGUCUCCGCAGCAGCACAUGGAUUAAGAUGCUACACAUGCACAGCUGCCGAUCCUAAAUCCUGCACAGACACCACAUCUUGUCUUCCUGGCUUCGAGCGCUGUUACUCUCUCAGAGUAGUAG